GGACGCGCUUCCGGGUUUUAGGCAGGGUACGCGGCUCGGACCGCAGCGAGGUCGCGCCGACGCUGCUUAACCUGCUAACUGCCGGCCAGAGGCUUUCCGCGAAGCCGGUGUGUCUGCCAAGGCGCUGCGUUUAUCCAAUGAGUCUCGGAUGUGGAACUGGGGAAGGUGCUGGUCCCAUAAAGACCUUCCCCUGCUCGCGGGCUCUGGGCGCAGCACAGAGAAAUAGGGGCGCCUUCAUGGGCGGGCAAAGAAAUGCUUGACAUCAAGGUCCAAUGAACUAAGAAGUUCUUCCCUGAGUCCUGCUGAACGCCAACUCCCGCCCUUCUCUCCCCUCACCCCCGCGCAAGCCCGCUCGCCACUGCUCGGUGCCUGCGCUGACGCGCACGGCCAACCCUCGCCAUCUGCCUUUCGGUUUCCAGGAAUGAGAGGCGUGACCCCAGAGGUCCCAAGGGAGCAGACCUGAAAGCCAGAGCCUCCUCAACAGACUGCCAGGGGGCGAGACGACAUGAGACACUGUCCUCCGCAGAUUGAUAGAUGAAGCAUAAAACAAGACCAGAUGCUGUGGUUUCCAGGAUGCACUUGGCUUCCCAUCCUUUAUUACCUGGAGCAUUUUUUACUAGGUGAAGAGGAGGAAAAUGGGAAUAGGAAGAAAGAAAAUGGCAAGAAAGAGGACAGGAAAAAGGUAAGUAGAAGGAUGGGUAGAACAGAAAUGUCUUUGUUUAUUCUGGUCGCUAUCGCAAAAUACCAUGGGUGGCAUUAAACAACUGGAACUUAUUUCUCACGAGUUUGGAGGCUAAAAUCUGAGAUCAAGGUGCUUGCAUCAACAGUUUCUCUGUCUAGUGAGGGCCUCCUAUGGAGUGGGGGAAGGGGUGCUAAUCCCAUUCCUGAGGGCUCUGCCCCAUGACUUAAUCACCUCCUAAAGGCCCCAUCUCCAAAUAUCAUCACCUUGGGGGUUAAGUUUCAACAUAAGAAUUGGGGGAAGUAGGGGGCACAAACCUUCAAACCAUAGUAGAGGGGGGAAGACAGGUUUUAAACAAAGGAUUAGCAAGUUUCUCCUAGCCCUCUCUUGCAAUUGUCCUUUGUUUGUAUGUAUAUUUGUAAAUGAAUAGAAGAGGAAGAAAUGGAAAGAGGAAAAGAAAAAAGAAAAAAAGUCAUUAAUCUGGGGACAGGUGGUGGUGAGCCCCUGGGAAUUUUAAAGCACAUGCAUGUAUUACAAGAAUAAACUUCUCUCUAUUGCU